rnacentral:misc_RNA from 1 species
GAAAUGCGAUAAGUAAUGUGAAUUGUAGAAUUCAGUGAAUCAUCGAAUCUCUGAACGCACAUUGCGCCCGCCAGCACUCUGGCGGGCAUGCCUGUUCGAGCGUCAUUUCAACCCUCAGAACCCCUUGCGGGAUCUGGCGUUGGGGAUUGGCAUCCAGCCAGCCCCGAAAUCUAGUGGCGGUCCCUCCGCGACCUCCCCUGUGCAGUAGCGAUACCUCGCAGCGGGACAGCGGUCUGACCACGCCGUAAAACCCCCAACUUCUCAAGGUUGACCUCGAAUCAGGUAGGAAUACCCGCUGAACUUAAGC